UGUUGUUGAAGGGAUUUUCCCCCAGAUCUUCCUCGGAGCCGCCGGCCCCCUCGACGGCAGUCUUGCGACUGCGGCUCCUCCGAGCCAGGGUCUUCUUUCUCCUCCUCUUUUCGGCCCCGGGUGCCCCCUCGGGACGAGCCUCUGGAGCGAGAUCCUCGGUCGGGGGGCUCCUUGAAGGGGCUCGGGGGACUUCGGGUUCGGCGUCGGAAGGGACUUCGACGGCGACGACCACUGGAACAGGCGCGGCCGAGCUUGUCCCUUCUGUCCUG
rnacentral:lncRNA from 1 species